UACGUAGGGGGCAAGCGUUGUCCGGAUUUAUUGGGCGUAAAGAGCGUGUAGGCGGCUAGAUAGGUCCGUUGUGAAAACUCGAGGCUCAACCUCGAGACGCCGGUGGAAACCAUCUAGCUAGAGUCCGGAAGAGGAGAGUGGAAUUCCUGGUGUAGCGGUGAAAUGCGCAGAUAUCAGGAAGAACACCCGUGGCGAAGGCGGCUCUCUGGGACGGUACUGACGCUGAGACGCGAAAGCGUGGGGAGCGAACAGG
rnacentral:rRNA from 1 species